rnacentral:rRNA from 1 species
UACGAAGGGGACUAGCGUUGUUCGGAAUCACUGGGCGUAAAGCGCACGUAGGUGGAUUUGUAAGUCAGGGGUGAAAUCCCAGAGCUCAACUCUGGAACUGCCUUUGAUACUGGCGACCUAGAGUUCGGAAGAGGUUAGUGGAAUUCCCAGUGUAGAGGUGAAAUUCGUAGAUAUUGGGAAGAACACCGGAGGCGAAGGCGGCUUGCUGGGCGUGAUCUGACGCUGAGGCGCGAAAGCGUGGGGAGCGAACAGG